UCCUACGGGAGGCAGCAGUGGGGAAUAUUGCACAAUGGGCGCAAGCCUGAUGCAGCCAUGCCGCGUGUAUGAAGAAGGCCUUCGGGUUGUAAAGUACUUCAGCGGGGAGGAAGGCGAUAAGGUUAAUAACCUGUCGAUUGACGUUACCCGCAGAAGAAGCACCGGCUAACUCCGUGCCAGCAGCCGCGGUAAUA
rnacentral:rRNA from 1 species